GACGAACGCUGGCGGCGUGCUUAACACAUGCGAGUCGAACGGAAAGGCCCUGCUUUUGUGGGGUGCUCGAGUGGCGAACGGGUGAGUAACACGUGAGUAACCUGCCCUUGACUUUGGGAUAACUUCAGGAAACUGGGGCUAAUACCGGAUAGGAGCUCCUGCUGCAUGGUGGGGGUUGGAAAGUUUCGGCGGGUGGGGAUGGACUCGCGGCUUAUCAGCUUGUUGGUGGGGUAGUGGCUUACCAAGGCUUUGACGGGUAGCCGGCCUGAGAGGGUGACCGGCCACAUUGGGACUGAGAUACGGCCCAGACUCCUACGGGAGGCAGCAGUGGGGAAUAUUGCACAAUGGGCGGAAGCCUGAUGCAGCAACGCCGCGUGCGGGAUGACGGCCUUCGGGUUGUAAACCGCUUUCGCCUGUGACGAAGCGUGAGUGACGGUAAUGGGUAAAGAAGCACCGGCUAACUACGUG
rnacentral:rRNA from 1 species